GACGAACGCUGGCGGCGUGCUUAACACAUGCAAGUCGAACGGAGUGGCGAACGGGUGAGUAAUGUAUCGGAACGUGCCCAGUAGCGGGGGAUAACUACGCGAAAGCGUAGCUAAUACCGCAUACUAUUGGAGCGGCCGAUAGGGGAUUAGCUGGUUGGUGGGGUAACGGCUCACCAAGGCGACGAUGCGUAGCUGGGUUGAGAGGACGACCAGCCACACUGGGACUGAGACACGGCCCAGACUCCUACGGGAGGCAGCAGUGGGGAAUUUUGGACAAUGGGGGAAACCCUGAUCCAGCCAUCCCGCGUGUGUGAUGAAGGCUUUCGGGUUGUAAAGCACUGUUGGCAGGAAAGCGGUACCUGCAGAAUAAGCACCGGCUAACUACGUGCCAGCCGCCGCGGUAAUUC
rnacentral:rRNA from 1 species